UAAGAAUCACUGUCAUUGCUGUKGUUUCUGCUGUGAUAUCCAUCAUCAUCAUCGCUUUAGCAUUUACUGCCUACAAGAAGAGAAAUGUUUCAGAAAUAUCACUCACCACUGUUUCUGAAAACACGUCUCUGACAAACUGACUUGAGAAUCAAGAUGGAGAAAUGAAGCAUCCUGCUCUGACUUUGGUCUUUUAGUGGAAUUGUUGGUAUUUAAUCCAUUAUUACCUCAAAUGAAAGAAUAARUWAUACUUUCAAAGUAUUAGGUGAUUUAAUUUGCACAAACACAAUCCCUCUACAAAUGAACUCCUACAAAAAUUAUCUUUUUGUUCUUUUGAAAAUGUUUUUAUACAGUAUUGAAUUUAUUAUCUACAUAUAAUGCAAGCCACAGUUGACAGCUGUUUAAAAUUCUUGGAGGUACUAUGACAAAAUACAAGAGUUUUCAAUACAUACAUACAUUUCUUCUUUGUGUGCUUUGGAGUUUCUGUGCUGAUUAAUUUUUUUGCGAAGCAAUAAAAGCUGGUAGCUCUUGAAUUGCUACAAAAUAAAGCUGUAUUUCCUUCAACUCACUGGCAGCAAUGUUGACAACUUGAGAUGCCAUUGAUUGAUGAAUAAAAUAACUCCAUGUGCGUUUCAUAAACUUAUAAACAUUUGCAAACUUUUAAUAUUGCUUUGGUUCCUCUGCUUAAGACAUAGUGUUUUAUUUAAUUCUCCAUUAUUGUCUUUGCACUAUUAUUUACUUUGGAAAGCAUCAACCUCAGGCGCGGG